rnacentral:lncRNA from 1 species
UCCUCCGAGUGGAGCCCCACCGGCGAAGAAGUCCCGCCGGCAGGCGACUCCGACGCCGACAGACGGGUCCGGACCCACCGAUCAGGGGGACGCCGCGGGCGCGGACCGGGAGUUGACGCUGUAUCAGCCCUCCGAUGCCGAGACUACCGUUUCUCUGGAGGCAUCACCCGGGCGCGCCCGAGAUGGACGGGUCGGACGUGAUCGGUCCCCAGCCCAGCCUUCGACUCGGUCGGCUCCGGAUGAUACG